rnacentral:rRNA from 1 species
AUUGAACGCUGGCGGCAGGCCUAACACAUGCAAGUCGAGCGGAAGAAGGGAGCUUGCUCCUGGAUUCAGCGGCGGACGGGUGAGUAAUGCCUAGGAAUCUGCCUGGUAGUGGGGGAUAACGUCCGGAAACGGGCGCUAAUACCGCAUACGUCCUGAGGGAGAAAGUGGGGGAUCUUCGGACCUCACGCUCUCAGAUGAGCCUAGGUCGGAUUAGCUAGUUGGUGGGGUAAAGGCCUGCCAAGGCGACGAUCCGUAACUGGUCUGAGAGGAUGAUCAGUCACAGUGGAACUGAGACACGGUCCAGACUCCUACGGGAGGCAGCAGUGGGGAAUAUUGGAAGAUGGGGGAAAUCCUGAUCCAGGCACGGCGCGUGUGUGCAGAAGGGCCUCGGAUGGGAAAGCACUUUUAGGUGGGAGGACGGGCAGUAAGUGUAUACCUUGCUGUUUGGACGUUACCAACAGAAUAAGCACCGGCUAACUUCGU